rnacentral:lncRNA from 1 species
UUCCCGUCAAAGGAGAUGUCGCCGACUGGGGAGAGGGAAGGGUUGUCUCCGACUGGGCUGCCGGCAGUCUCGGCACUCAUCAGUGAAGUGGUGGAGAGAGGCGUCGACUGGGAAGUGGGAGAUGUCGCCGACUGGGGAGAGAGAAGGGGAUGUCGCCGACACCGACUGGGGAGAGAGAAGGAGAUGUCGCCGACACCGACUGGGGAGAGGGAAGGGUUGUCUCCGACUGGGCAGCCGGAAGUCUCGGCACUCGUCAGUGAAGUGGGUGAGAGAGGCGUCGACUGGGAAGUGGGGGAUGUCGCCGACUGGGGAGAGAGAAGAGUUGUCGCCGACUGGGGAGAGAGAAGAGUUGUCGCCGACUGGGGAGAGAAAGGAGAUGUCGCCGACGCCGACUGGGGAAAGGGAAGGGUUGUCUCCGACUGGGCUGCCGGCAGUCUCGGCACUCGUCAGUGAAGUGGGGGAGAGAGGCGUCGACUGGGAUGGGAAGGGAAGCGGACGGCAGCUGAGUAUCUUCUGGGCUUUACGAAGUAAAA